rnacentral:rRNA from 1 species
AGAGUUUGAUCCUGGCUCAGAUUGAACGCUGGCGGCGUGCCUAACACAUGCAAGUCGAGCGGUAACAGGUGUAGCAAUACAUGCUGAUGGCGGCGAACGGGUGAGUAAUGCUUUGGAAUCUUCCCAGUAGUGGGGAAUAACCAGUCAAAAGAUUGGCUAAUACCGCAUACGUCUGUAAAGGGAAAGCGGGGGCUCGUAAGACCUCGCGCUAUUGGAUGAGCCAAAGUCGGAUUAGCUAGUUGGUGGGGUAAUGGCCUACCAAGGCGACCAUCCGUAGCUGGUCUGAGAGGACGACCAGCCACACCGGAACUGAUACACGGUCCGGACUCCUACGGGAGGCAUCAGUGGGGAAUAUUGGACAAUGGGGGAAACCCUGAUCCAACGACGCCGCGUGUGUGAAGAAGGCCUGCGGGUUGUAAAGCACUUUUAGUGGGGACAAAAAGCUACGGAUUAAUACUCUGUGGUCUUGAUUUAACCCAAAGAAAAAGCACCGGCUAACUCUGUGCCAGCAGCCGCGGUAAUACAGAGGGUGCGAGCGUUAAUCGGAAUUACUGGGCGUAAAGCGCGCGUACACGGUUUUGUAAGUCAGAUGUGAAAUCCCUGGGCUCAACCUGGGAACUGCAUUUGAUACUGCAUGGCUAGAGUAUCGAAGAGGGAAGUGGAAUUUCCGGUGUAGCGGUGAAAUGCGUAGAUAUCGGAAGGAACACCAGUGGCGAAAGCGACUUCCUGGUCGAAUACUGACGUUCAUGUGCGAAAGCGUGGGGAGCAAACAGGAUUAGAUACCCUGGUAGUCCACGCCAUAAACGAUGACAACUAGAUGUUGGGAGGGUUUGCCUCUCGGUGUCGCAGCUAACGCGUUAAGUUGUCCGCCUGGGGAGUACGGCCGCAAGGUUGAAACUCAAAGGAAUUGACGG